CUAGUCUCCGUGGGUCCAAGCGCAAAGUUGAAUAAACCUUAUCACUUAGAGGAAGGAGAAGUCGUAACAAGGUUUCCGUAGGUGAACCUGCGGAAGGAUCAUUC
rnacentral:rRNA from 1 species